AGUGAUGUCUUUAUUAAUUCCCGGCCAAACGAAUUUUUGUCCAAUUUGAUGUUUGGUGGCUCUGCCACUGGGGUGUGCCAUUCCAUGCACGGCGUCGGAAAUUCGUUUCCUCAGAGUUCCUGGGACGUAGGGUUGUAUCGCAUCUUUUAAGCAGUCGCAGUAAAGUAGACGAAGUAAGGGGAAACCGAAGUCCGUACCGAUUCUGACGUGCAAAUCGAUCGUCGGAACUGGGUAUAGGGGCGAAAGACUAAUCGAACUAUCUAGUAGCUGGUUCCCUCCGAAGUUUCCUUCAGUAUAGCUGGCACUCGCCCGUUCUGCACGGAACAUGCGCGAGUCUCAUCUGGUAAAGCGAAUGAGGCCUUGGGGUCGAAACGACCUCAAACGACCUAUUCUCAAACUUUAAAUGAGUGACAUCUCUGAUUUCUUGAACUGUGAAGUCACGAGUAGAAAUUUGGAUCAGAAUGCCAAGUGGGCCAUUUUUGGUAAACAGAACUGGCGCUGUGGGAUGAACCAAACGCAGAGUUAAGGCGCCUAACUCGACGCUCAUGGGACACCACAAAAGGCGUUGGUUGCUUAAGACAACAGGACGGUGGCUAUGGAAGUCGGAAUCUGCUAAGGAGUGUGUAACAACUCACCUGCCGAAGCAGCUAACCCUGAAAAUGGAUGGCGCUGAAGCGUCGAACCUAUACUCUGCCGUCAGCGACAAGUGGGGCGGCCGCAUGCUCGCACACGCCGCCACGAAGCCCUGACGAGUAGAAGGGUCGCGGCGAUGUGCGCAGAAGGGUCUGGGCGCAAGCCUGCCUGGAACCGCCGUCGGUGCAGAUCAGCAAAUACUCCAGCGAGGCCCUGGAGGACUGACGUGGAGAAGGGUUUCGUGUGAACAGUCGUUGCACACGAGUCAGUUGAUCCUAAGCCUUAGGAGAAAUCCUAUGUCAAUGACGGCAUACGAUACUCUAGUGUUUUAUACUUUGCAGAGAGAGAGACACACGUCCGUCGAGCGAAAGGGAAUUCGGUUCCUAUUCCGGAACCCGGCAGCGGAACCAUAUACAAUUCGGGCCCUCGUAAGAGUGUUCGUCGGAGUAACCCAAAAUGACAUGGAGAUGCCGUCGGGAGAUCCGAGAAGAGUUUUCUUUUCUGUAUAAGCGUUCGAGUUCCCUGGAAACCUCUAGCAGGGAGAUAGAGUUUGGAACGCGAAGAGCACCGCAAUUGCGGCGGUGUCCGGAUCUUCCUCUCAGACCUUGAAAAUCCAGGAGAGGCCCACGUGGAGGUGUCGCGCUGGCUCAUACCCAUAUCCGCAGCAGGUCUCCAAGGUAAAGAGCCUCUAGUCGAUAGACUAAUAUAGGUAAGGAAAGUCGGCAAAUUAGAUCCAUAACUUCGGAAUAAGGAUUGGCUCUGAGGAGCGGGGCGUGUCGGGCUUGGUCGGCAAGCGGGUUUGGCUGACGUGUCGGGCCUGGGCGAGGUGACGUUCCGGUGUUCUCGCGCCGGGUCCGGGAUCCGAGCUUGGUCCCGUGCUUUGACCUUCCGCGGAUCUUCCUUGCUGCGAGGCUUCUGUGGCGGCGCGAGCCGUCGUGGUCGUCCUCUUCGGCCGCCAUUCAACGCUCAGUUCAGAACUGGCACGGACUGGCAGGGGAAUCCAACUGUUUAAUUAAAACAAAGCAUUGCGAUGACCCUUGAGGGUGUUGACGCAAUGUAAUUUCUGCCCAGUGCUCUGAAUGUCAACGUGAAGAAAUUCAAGCAAGCGCGGGUAAACGGCGGGAGUAACUAUGACUCUCUUAAGGUUAUGGUUGCUUAGGGACUGUCUCCUCUCCCGAUAUUACCAUCAGUGGGUACUUGGAGCAGUCACCUCAAAAACUCUUAAAGGAUUGGAUACGUAU
rnacentral:ncRNA from 1 species